ACUGGAACGGUGGCUAAUACCGGAUGUGCCGAAGAGGUGAAAGGCUAGCUGCCUAGAGAUGAGCUCGCGUCUGAUUAGCUAGAUGGUGGGGUAAGAGCCUACCAUGGCGACGAUCAGUAGCUGGUCUGAGAGGAUGAUCAGCCACACUGGGACUGAGACACGGCCCAGACUCCUACGGGAGGCAGCAGUGGGGAAUUUUCCGCAAUGGGCGAAAGCCUGACGGAGCAAUACCGCGUGAGGGAGGAAGGCUCUUGGGUUGUAAACCUCUUUUCUCAGGGAAGAAGAGAUGACGGUACCUGAGGAAGAAGCAUCGGCUAACUCCGUGCCAGCAGCCGCGGUAAUACGGAGGAUGCAAGCGUUAUCCGGAAUGAUUGGGCGUAAAGCGUCCGUAGGUGGUGAUGCAAGUCUAUUGUCAAAGCGUGCGGCUCAACCGCAUAAAGGCAGUGGAAACUGUGUAACUAGAGUGCAUUCGGGGCAGGGGGAAUUCCUGGUGUAGCGGUGAAAUGCGUAGAGAUCAGGAAGAACACCGGUGGCGAAAGCGCCCUGCUAGGCUGCAACUGACACUGAGGGACGAAAGCUAGGGGAGCGAAUGGGAUUAGA
rnacentral:rRNA from 1 species